rnacentral:rRNA from 1 species
GGACCAAGGAGUCUAGCAUGUGCGCAAGUCAUUGGGUUAUAAACCUAAAGGCGAAAUGAAAGUGAAUUAAAUUUUUGAUACGUUUACGUUGACGAAAGGCAGGGAUGAUGGGCCGUCCUACAGUGGCGGCCUCGCAGUCCCGGGGCGUCUCGCGCUCACUGAGGCGGGGCGCACCUAGAGCGUGCACGCUGGGACCCGAAAGAUGGUGAACUAUGCGUGGUCAGGACGAAGUCAGGGGAAACCCUGAUGGAGGUCCGUAGCGAUUCUGACGUGCAAAUCGAUCGUAAGAACUGUGUAUAGGGGCGAAAGACCAAUCGAACCAUCUAGUAGCUGGUUCCCCCCGAAGUUUCCCUCAGGAUAGCUGGCACUCGGGGGCAUAAGAUUUUUCGAUUUACUAUUGUAUUUAUUUUUAAACAUGAGUAUGAGCAUAACGUAGAUAGAGAAACGGAUGAGUCUCAUCCGGUAAAGCGAAUGAUUAGAGGCCUUGGGGCCGAAACGGUUUCAACCUAUUCUCAAACUUUAAAUGGGUGAGAUCUUUGGCUUGCUUGAACGAAGCCGGGGAUGGGAUCUAUGAGUGCCAAGUGGGCCACUUUUGGUAAGCAGAACUGGCGCUGUGGGAUGAACCAAACGUUGAGUUAAAGCGCCUAAAUCGACGCUCAUGGGACACCAUGAAAGGCGUUGGUAACUUAAGACAGCAGGGCGGUGGCCAUGGAAGUCGGA